rnacentral:rRNA from 1 species
CCUACGGGAGGCAGCAGUGGGGAAUAUUGGGCAAUGGGCGCAAGCCUGACCCAGCAACGCCGCGUGAAGGAAGAAGGCUUUCGGGUUGUAAACUUCUUUUAAGAGGGAAGAGCAGAAGACGGUACCUCUUAAAUAAGCCACGGCUAACUACGUGCCAGCAGCCGCGGUAAUACGUAGGUGGCAAGCGUUGUCCGGAUUUACUGGGUGUAAAGGGCGUGCAGCCGGGAAGACAAGUCAGAUGUGAAAUCCCGCGGCUCAACCGCGGAACUGCAUUUGAAACUGUUUUUCGUGAGUACCGGAGAGGUCAUCGGAAUUCCUUGUGUAGCGGUGAAAUGCGUAGAUAUAAGGAAGAACACCAGUGGCGAAGGCGGAUGACUGGACGGCAACUGACGGUGAGGCGCGAAAGCGUGGGGAGCAAACAGGAUUAGAUACCCGGGUAGUC